rnacentral:snRNA from 1 species
AUCACUUCUCAGUCUUUUGGCUAAGACCAAAUUAGUGUCUGUUCUUACAGUUUAAUAUCUGAUACAUUCUGUCUCUAAUUUCUGCAUGAUAGAAAAAAUUUUAAGGCAAGUAUACAAUUU